rnacentral:rRNA from 1 species
UCCUCAUUUUAUUAUUUGAGGUAGGGCCUGCUCAAUGCGAAAGGUAAAUAGCCGCAGUAUUCUGACUGUGCGAAGGUAGCAUAAUAAAUUGGCUCUUAAUUUGAGUCUGGAAUGAAUGGUUUGACAAGAAUUUGACUGUCUUAAAAUGAAAGUCUUUGAAAUUGAAUUGUCUGUAAAAAUGCAGAUAUAUAAGAGAGGGACGAGAAGACCCUAUAGAUCUUGAAUAGAUUAUUAAGAAAAAAUUAGUAAUUUUUUUUAUUUGGGGAAAAUCCUGAAAUAUAAUUAAACUUCGGUUAAUUUGAAAAAUUUAAAAAAUUGAUUUUUGAUCCAUUAAAUUUAUAAGUUUAUUAAUGAAAAAGUGAAAAAGUUACCUUAGGGAUAACAGGACAAUGAUCUUUUUGAAGGUCUUAUUCAAAAGGACGUUUGUUACCUCGAUGUUGAAUUAAGUUAUCUAAUUAAAGAAGAAAUUUUUAUAGUUGGUCUGUUCGACCAUUAAAAAC